GUGAAUCAUCGAAUUUUUGAACGCAAAUUGCACUCUCUUCUGAGAGUAUGCCUGUUUGCGUGUCAGCCUAAAAAAAAUCGACAUAGUUGCUGUUACGCGGUAACAUUCGUCGGAAAUUGGGUCAUCUUAAACCUUUGGGUUUAAGCGGUUCAAAAUUUUUUUUCGGAUUCCAAGACCGUUCCUAAGUUUUUAUUUACUUAUACUUUUC
rnacentral:misc_RNA from 1 species